rnacentral:lncRNA from 1 species
UGUAGAUCGGGGGAAACGGUGACUCGGACUCCAGUCACAAAGCUCUCCACAUCACGUGACCGACCUCACCUUCGCUCCAGAAACGUCCUCAGUUUUAGCCGUGGCAAAUAAAGUGGAAGGACGUGACCUGCUCGUCCCCUCUAAAGGCCCUCGGCCUGGAUUGGGCCCUUCAGCGAACUCUAGUAUUCCAGGGUGCAACAUUCAAGGUCAAGGUCGGGCAGCGGCUGUCUAGGGUGCAGCGGGACUCUGGACUCCUCGGUUUCCUAACCGAGAAGGGGGAGCCCUGCAAAUUGGGGGGCCUUACUCUCGGGGAAGGGGUUCUUUCCCGUUACUGAUCACCCCUUCCGUGUGGGGUGGGAGGACCCUCCCCGGGUUCUGUGCGGGCUGAGCGCUGUGGCCGCAAUGGGUCCCCAAGUAGCCCUCCUGGUGGCGGCGCUAGCCGGCUGCCUGCUUCCUGCCGGGGGCUGUGUCAUAUGUGAUCAGAGGGUCGUGGCGGCUCUGGACGCCUUGGAAAAGGAAUACCUGCCUACCCACAUGGCGCGCGAGCGUCAGAGACAAGUGAUGGAAACGAUAAGACAAACCGUGAGAAAUUUCUGGGACCUGCCAUAUUUAGAGGAUGCCUUUAUGGGGGUUAUAGGUGAGGGCAGGGUAGAGCGUGGGAACCCCGGGUCGUGGAAAAAGAGGAGUCUGGUGCUAGGAUUCCUGGGAGCAGGGACGGGGCGCGGGGAGGGAGGGAAGGGCCGGAGCCAGAGUCUACUGGGUUCGUGAUGGAGAGGGCUGAGAUGCAGAUGCCAGGGCUUUCCGAGCGCUAGGAAAUACUGUGUUCUCCUACCCCUGACCCUGCAAUUUUAUGUACAAAACUACAACUCCCAGAAGGCAACAGACAGGCAAUCCUUUACAGCCCUAGCCUUGCCCAAUAGCCACAUGGGCAUUGUAGUUUUUAACACUAGCUGAGCCAAUGGGACCACAAGGCUUCGAAUCUGAGGUUCUAUCUCCCCUCCCCGCAUCCCCCGUGUCCCUCCAGAUGAGGCCACGAUGGAAACGUCAGUGUUGGGUUUUCUGAGGAGUAUGACACUUAUCACAAACAGUGACAUAGCAGGUAAAUGGCACAGUGGCCAGGGGAGGGGCUUCGGAAUCCUUUGGCUCUGGAGCCAAACUGCCUAGGUUCAAACACCGGCCCUGUCAUCCCCUGGCUGUGUGGCCUUUAGGGAGGGAUAUCACAGCUUUGUCACCUCCGAACUGGGUCAUAACGGUGCCUGCACCCAGGCCAGUGACUUAGCCCAGUGGCCAGCAUGGUUAAGUGGUCAUUCAAUUUCACUGCGCCUCCCGGAGAUGGCCCCAACCUGGAACGCCAGCCUCUUCAGACGGGUACCUGUACCUCCUCCUGGGGUGGGUGGGAGGAGGGGUCGCCCUCUGUCACCCUGCUCUUUCCCAGAUGACACUUUCGUGAAGGAGUUCUCCUGGAUGUUGACUCUGGAAAAGGCAGCCUUUCAGCGCAAUGUUGCUCGGUUCCAAAGAGAGGGUGAGGGAAGAUGGGUUCCCUCAGGGACCACAGCCCCUUCCUCCACCAGUCCCGGGGUCCCCGUCCCCAGUCCUCUGCUUCUCUAUGUCCAGCCCCUCACCUCUCCCAACAGCGUCCUCCCUCCAACCCAAGAGCCCAAACCCCAACCUAUUCCUUCUCCCCCUCUCUCGUGUCCUUUAACUUAGAAAUCUCAUCACUUUUUUUUUUUUCUUCCUUCUGAGGCAGAUUUCUGUCCCAACAAAUGUGGUGAGUCCAGAUUAGGGAAGCUGGUUUUCUAUCCCCCAUUCUGGCCCCGGUUAAUACCCAGCCUUUCUCCUCCUGCUUUGGGUCUCGAUGGUUCUUCCUUCCCCACGUCUGAGAGGUUCCUGGUCCCCAGUAGUCCUUCUGCACAGCGGACUUCCUGGGCGACGGGUCCUAUUCCAUGUGGGCUCCUCACUGAGCCCGGUUAGGUCCCUCUUCCGGCAGGUCUGCCUUCUAGCCCCGCCCCUUGGGCUGACCUCUCGGGAUUAGGCGCUGGGCCCCGCCCCAGCCCUUGACCCUGCCCUCUCCUUUUAGUCUCUUCUAUCAGGAUAAAUGCAACCUUGAUCCUGCCCCUUCAGGUAUGAUGUUGCAGCCUCUGAUCUGGUGCAGUAAUUGUAAAAAGCAGCUUCACGUUUGUCGAAAGUCCACAGAUUGCGGUGGUGAGAGAGCUGGGGCCAGCUGGAGGGAGUGGGGGUUGACUCAAGAGGGGCGGAGCCAGAGGAGAGCCGGGGUCUAGAGAGGCCAAAGAAAGGAGCCGGCCCACCAGAAAAGUGGGGGCCAAGACCAAGUGCGAGGGAGUUGAGGGAGAACCAAGAUGCAUCCCACCGUAACCGCCUGUCCCCAGUGCGCCAAAUCAACGUCCACGAAAAGGAAGACUUGGUCCUGGACUGUGAGCUCAACUGGCAUAAAUUAUCUCAAGGCCUGACCUAUUACAGCUUUUACAGGGUGGGCCCUUCAACCCCAUCAACCCCAAGUCCAUUAGGCUUGGUUGAGCGCCCACCCCGGUAUCCACAAGCUUGUUGCCACAAUCCCCAUGACCCAUGACCUACCAGGUUUGACUUCUACGGGUCCCCGGGGACCCCAUGCCCUUACCAGUAACCCUAGACUCCCAUCUCCCCCACUGAGAUCCCGUGAUGCUCUCACACCUGUACUUCCCCAAACCCUGAACUCCCCAGGCCUCUGUGACCCCUUGAGCUUGGGUCUAGGUUUGGGGGAGCAAUUCUGAGACCUUGGUGUACAAGGGGAAACAGCCCACCCUGACCAAGCCCCUGGUGGGGCCAGAGGAUGCAGGUGACUACCGCUGUGAGUUGGGCACUGUGAGAUCCCUCCCAGCCACGGUCAUCCAUUUUAAAGUCACAGGUCAGAGCUGGGGAGUCGACGGAAGUGUGGGAAUCAGGGUCCUGGGGUUAGGGGACAGUCAGCUUGGGGCAUGGCCUAUGGGGCAAAACUUCCUGUCGGGGUGUCAUUUCAGGCCACGGGGGUGUGGCCACCCGCCACGGUGGCCGGGGUCCAGGCAGAAAGGGUCGCGAUUGUCUCCUCCAAGGCCCGGGUCUUGGGGGAAGGUUGGAGGGGGGGGAGCUUGCCUGGGCCACGGGGGACCUUGGUGGCCUCCCAAGGCUGCUCUUUCUCUCUCCUCUAUCAGUGUUGCCUCAGAGAAUCAUAGAGGAGACACCGACAUCAAACUUUGAAACCGAGGAGCAGCUGUCCCCAACCCUCCAGCCUUCAGAGUACCCUAAGCCCGAGAAGGUGCUGAGAAGCCUUCUGGCAGGGCUGCUGAUCUGGGGCUUUGUGGUGCUGAUCAUCAGCUUUGUCACCGCGUGAGCCAACCCUGAUGAAGGCGGGGCACGAACAGAGGGACGGGGUCUCCAAAUCCCAAUGCAGGAGGGGGUCCUUUAAGGGAGAGGCCUUAGAAAAUGGUAGCGAUGAUCCAGCCUGGGUCAUUGCUGGAGUAAGACCAAAUAUAGGGAGGCGAGGAGGGCUAUCCCUCAAGACCUAACCUGGUUCCACUAUCUGCCCCCCGCCCUCCCCCAGCGUACUUUGCUUUCUGCCUGGGAACGUGAUGGAUUCCAUAAAGUCCUGGGUCCUCACAAACAGAGCAGCCGCCCUGCAGAGCCAGGUUCCGAAGGUACCGAAAGGAAACGACACAGCACCAAGUCACAAAUAAAGAUUUAUCUGGUUGCCUA